rnacentral:tRNA from 1 species
GUCCCACUAGCAUAGUGGUUAGUGCACAGCCGCGGAUAGUUUGAGACGCGGGUUCGAAUCCCGUCUAAGAUG